AUUGUUUAAAAUAGAAUAAUUGUGUCAUAAAAAGAAGUUAAUUUUCAAUAAAGGGUAAAAUUGUCAUUUUAAAGGGAGGUAGUAAUAACAACUAAUAAGUACGGUUACUUAAUAUGUAGGAGUAUUAGAGAUUAAACUUAUCAAGUACUUAUGCAAUAGCUCAACUUUAAUUUAAAAGGAUAUUACACACUACAAAAUUUGGACCCAAUUUUCAUACUAUCAUAAUCAAAAUAAUAAUUUGUAACCAAACAUUACCAUAAUCGGGAAACUUACAACUGGAACACAAAACUCAACACAGAUUUGAUACAGAACAGCUUAAAAACGG
rnacentral:lncRNA from 1 species